GUGGCUCAAAGAGAGAGUUUCAUGUGAGUAGAUAGAUUAACACAAAGAAACUGAUACAUAUUCACUUUUUAUUAGAGAAUAUAAGUACUUAUCUUGUAUUUUUUUUUUGUAACACACUUAUCUUGUGCUUAUAUUUGCAGGCUUGGGAUACACUUAUUAGACGAUAAUAUCUCUCGCAAAUAUGGGAGCAAUCAAUCUUGAAAAAAGCCACAAGGAUCACUUGUUUCUUUAAAUCUGAGAUAAUUGUCGUUAUAUUCUUUCACAAUUUUGCCAGAGCCUCUUUUUUUUUUAACUUAUCAAGAAGAUCUAAGUUUGUAAAAUCACAUUUUUUUUUUUACAUUUAGUAAAUAAGUUCACUUCGUGCGUUAUAAAAUGAUGAAAAUUAGGAAAAAGUCCAAGGUUAAAAGUCCAC
rnacentral:lncRNA from 1 species